rnacentral:rRNA from 1 species
UACGUAGGGUGCGAGCGUUAAUCGGAAUUACUGGGCGUAAAGCGUGCGCAGGCGGUUUUUUAAGUCAGAUGUGAAAUCCCCCGGCUUACCCGGGGAACUGCAUCCCAUACUGCUGGACUUGAGUGCGGGAGAGGAUGGAGGAAUUCCUGGUGUAGCGGUGAAAUGCGUAGAUAUCAGGAGGAACACCUGUGGCGAAGGCGUCCAUCUGGCCCGUUACUGACGCUGAUGCGCGAAAGCUAGGGGAGCAAACGGG